rnacentral:lncRNA from 1 species
UGCUGGUUAUGUAUUCAUUUAUUUACAGGUAUACCAAAGCAUUUAGCACGGGGUUGGAGGGUUUGUCGAAGUUUUCCUUGCUUUUCUUUGUCGUCUCCCCUUCUUCCCCCCACCAUCCUCUGCCAAGAAAAGAAAGAGAGAAGGGGAUGCGCGCCCACGGUCCCAGGCAGUCCGCUAAAAGGCGGCGGAGUUGUUGUUUCCACGGUAUCUGCUGCCACCUAAAGGCCAAACAGAAAAACUGCGUCGGAAAGGUUGCGGCGGUCUCUGGUGCCAUCUAGUGGCCAAAAGGUGGAAAUGCAGACCCGUCAGUUUGGCGCAGGAGAAAGUACGCAUGCGUACUGCCGUCUCGCGGCUCGCGCAUGCGUACUGCCGUCUCGCGGCUCGCGCAUGCGUACUGCCGUUUCGAGGCUCGCGCAUGCGUACUACCGUCUCGCGGCUCGCGCAUGCGUACUAUCGUCCAUAAUGUCGCACAUGCGUACUAACGUCCAUAAUGGCGCGCAUGCGUACUGCCGACUCGCAUCUCGCGCAUGCGUACUACCGUCUCGAAGUUCGCACAUGCGUACUACCGCCCAUGAUGUCGCGCAUGCGUACUGCCGUUUCGGAACUCGCGCAUGCGUAUUGCCGUCUCGAGGCUCGCGCAUGCGUAAUGCGGUCCAUAAUAUCGCGCAUGCGUACUGCCGUCUCGAAACUCGCGCAUGAGUACUACCGUCUCGCGUCUCGCGCAUGCGUACUGCUGUCUAUGAUGUCGCACAAACGUACUACCGUUUCGGGUCUCGCGCAUGCGUACUGCCGUCCAUAAUCUCGCGCAUGCGUACUGCCCUCUCGAACCUCGCGCAUGCGCACUACCGUCUCGCGUCUCGCGCGUGCGUACUGCCGUUUCGAAACUCGCGCGAGCGUAGUGCCAUCUCGGAGCUCGCGCAUGCGUACUACCGCCCAUGAUGUCGCGCAUGCGUACUGCCGUUUCAUGGCUCGCGCAUGCGUACUGCUGUCCGUAAUGUCGCGCAUGCGUACUGCCGUCUCCCGACUCGCGCAUGCGUACUGCCGUCUAUAAUGUCGCGCAUGCGUGCUGCCGUCUCGAAACUCGCGCAUGCGUACUGCCGUCUCGCGGCUCGCGCAUGCGUAUUGCCGUCUCGGGGCUCGCUCAUGCGUAGUGCUGUCAGUAAUGUCGCGCAUGCGUACUACGGUCUGGGAGCUCGCGCAUGCGUACUGUUGUCCGUGAUGUCGCGCAUGCGUACUGCCGUCUGGAAGCAAGCGCAUGCGUACUGCCGUCCAUAAUGUCGCGCAUGCGUACUGCCGUCUCGAAACUCGCGCAUGCGUACUGCUGUCUAUGUUUUGGCGCAUGCGUACUACCGUCUCCACGCUCGCGCAUACGUACUGCCGUCUAUAAUGUCGCACAUGCGUGCUGCCGUCUCGAAACUCGCGCAUGCGUACUGCCGUCUCGCGGCUCGCGCAUGCGUAUUGCCGUCUCGGGGCUCGCUCAUGCGUAGUGCUGUCAGUAAUGUCGCGCAUGCGUACUACCGUCUGGAAGCUCGCGCAUGCGUACUGCCGUCUAUAAUGUCGCGCAUGCGUACAGUUGUGUAUAAUGUCGCGCAUGCGUACUGCCGUCCGUAAUCUCGCGCAUGCGUACUUCCGUCUCGAAGCUCGCGCAUACGUACUGCUGUCCGUAAUGCCGCACAUGCGUAAUUCCCUCUGGAAACUCGCGCAAGCGUACUGCUGACCGUUAUGUCGCGCAUGCGUACUGCCGGCUCGACGCUCGCGCAUGCGUACUGCCGUCCAUAAUGUCGCGCAUGCGUACUGCCGUCCACAAUGUCGCGCAAGCGUAUUGCUGUCUCGGGACUCGCACAUGCGUACUGCUAUCCGUAAUGUAGCGCAUGCCGUCUGGAAGCUCGCGCAUGCGUACUGCCGUCCAUAAUGUCGCGCAUGCGCACUACCGUCUCGAAACUCGCGCAUGCGUACUGCCCUCUCGGGGGCUCGCGCAUGCGUAUUGCCGUCUCGAAACUCGCGCAUGCGUACAGUUGUACAUAAUGUCGCGCAUGCGUACUGCUGUCUCGAACGUGGCGCAUGCGUUCUACUGUCUCGAAGCUCGCGCAUGCGUACUGCUGUCCGUAAUACCGCGCAUGCGUACUGCCGUCUCGCGGCUCGCGCGUGCGUACUGCCGUCUAUAAUGU